UUAAAAUAAAAAAAAAAAAAAGAACAAAAAACUUUUAGCAAGCAGUGGACAAAAAUUAGAACAAAAAUUAUCAACACCUGCAAGUGAAUCAACAUAAUUGCUAAAUUCAGCUUUAAAGGGAUCUACAUAAUGUUAAAAACUAUAGAAAUGAAGCAACAUUAGCAAUCAGCGAACCAGAAUAAGAACUAAACUUAUCAAAAACCUUCGGGACCCAGUCGGAGCCAAAUGAAGCAAAAUAAUAAUAAUAACCUUAACAAGUAAAGAUUCAUAAACCCUACAAAAGAGCACCAAAAUAAAUAAUAAAAAAAAAAAGGAAAGGCAAAGAAAAAUAACA
rnacentral:misc_RNA from 1 species